UCUACGGGUGGCAGCAGUGAGGAAUAUUGGUCAAUGGGCGGAAGCCUGAACCAGCCAAGUCGCGUGAGGGAUUAAGGCCCUGCGGGUCGUAAACCUCUUUUGCCGGGGAGCAGAGGUCCGGACGUGUCCGGGCCGGGAGAGUACCCGGAGAAAAAGCAUCGGCUAACUCCGUGCCAGCAGCCGCGGUAAUACGGAGGAUGCGAGCGUUAUCCGGAUUUAUUGGGUUUAAAGGGUGCGUAGGCGGGCAUUUAAGCCGGCGGUCAAAUGUCGGGGCUCAACCUCUUCGAGCCGUUGAAACUGGUUUUCUUGAGUGAGCGAGAAGUAUGCGGAAUGCGUGGUGUAGCGGUGAAAUGCAUAGAUAUCACGCAGAACUCCGAGUGCGAAGGCAGCAUACCGGCGCUCAACUGACGCUCAUGCACGAAAGUGUGGGUAUCGAACAGGAUUAGAUACCCCGGUAGUC
rnacentral:rRNA from 1 species